rnacentral:rRNA from 1 species
GNCGUCAAGUCNUCAUGGCCCUUACGACCGGGCUACACACGUACUACAAUGGUGGACAGAGGGCUGCAAACCGGCGACGGUGAGCCAUCCCAGAAACCCUAUCUCAGUCCGGAUUGGAGUCUGCAACUCGACUCCAUGAAGUCGGAAUCGCUAGUAAUCGCAGAUCAGCAUUGCUGCGGUGAAUACGUUCCCGGGCCUUGUACACACCGCCCGUCACACCAUGGGAGUUUGUUGCACCAGAAGCAGGUAGCUUAACCUUCGAGGGCGCUUGCCACGGUGUGGCCGAUGACUGGGUGAAGUCGUAACAAGGUAGCCGUAUCGGAAGGUGCGGUUGGAUCACUC